rnacentral:rRNA from 1 species
GCCGCGGUAAUUCCAGCUCCAAUAGCGUAUACUAAAGUUGUUGCGGUUAAAAAGCUCGUAGUUGGAUCUUGGAAUGUGUUCAAGCGGGUCAGCUUCUGGCUGUGCGCUGCUUGACGUGUUCUUCUAUUUGGUUUUGGUGCGGUGCGCUUAACUGCGUGUCGCUCCCGGCCGAAACGUUUACCUUGAAAAAAUUAGAGUGUUCAAAGCAGACCUGUUUGAGUCUGAAUAUUCGUGCAUGGAAUAAUGAAAUAUGAAUUCGGUUCUAUUUUGUUGGUUUUCGGAACUCGAGUUAAUGAUCAAGAGGGACAGACGGGGGCAUUCGUACUCUGCCGUUAGAGGUGAAAUUCUUGGAUCGGCGGAAGACGCGCAACUGCGAAAGCAUUUGCCAAGAAUGUUUUCUUUAAUCAAGAACGAUAGUCGGAGGUUCGAAGACGAUCAGAUACCGUCCUAGUUUCGACUGUAAACUAUGCCAGCUAACGAUCAGACAGAGUUCUCUACGACUUGUCUGGCAGUUUCCGGGAAACCAAAGCGUUUGGGUUCCGGGGGAAGUAUGGUUGCAAAGCUGAAACUUAAAGGAAUUGACGGAAGGGCACCACCAGGAGUGGAGCCUGCGGCUUAAUUUGACUCAACACGGGGAAACUCACCCGGCCCGGACACAGUGAGGAUUGACAGAUUGAGAGUUCUUUCUUGAUUCUGUGGGUGGUGGUGCAUGACCGUUCUUAGUUGGUGGAGCGAUUUGUCUGGUUAAUUCCGAUAACGAACGAGACUCUGGCAUGUUAAAUAGUCGCGGAAGUGCGUAUGCACUUGCCGAAUUGACUUCUUAGAGGGACUAGUGAUUUUAAUUCACACGAGAUUGAGCAAUAACAGGUCUGUG